rnacentral:lncRNA from 1 species
GAGGAGAAAAAGCAAAGUAGACACAGCUUGUUGAAUUUAUCUACUUUAGGUACCAAUUCAUUUUUUUAAAAGCGAGUGUUUUUGAGGAGCAGCCAAACAGGGCGCCCUCAGAAUUUUUACUAUAGAUACCGGUAGGUCCAUUGACAUCCUAGUCCCUUUGGUUUAAACAAGUUCUUCAACAAAGAGAGAGACCAGAUUGUCGGGAAAAAACAGGGCUACUC